rnacentral:tRNA from 1 species
CCCCGUGUGGCUCAGUUGGUAGGGCAUGGUGUUUGCAACGCCAGGGUUGUGGGUUCGAUUCCCACGGGGA